UACGAAGGGGGCUAGCGUUGCUCGGAAUCACUGGGCGUAAAGGGUGCGUAGGCGGGUUUUUAAGUCAGAGGUGAAAUCCUGGAGCUCAACUCCAGAACUGCCUUUGAUACUGAAAGUCUUGAGUAUGGGAGAGGUGAGUGGAACUGCGAGUGUAGAGGUGAAAUUCGUAGAUAUUCGCAAGAACACCAGUGGCGAAGGCGGCUCACUGGCCCAUAACUGACGCUGAGGCACGAAAGCGGGGGGAGCAAACAGG
rnacentral:rRNA from 1 species